AUGGACGGGAAGGGCGCGACGGAGAGCUCAAACCCUAACCGCGUCGUUGAGAGCGUACCAUCGGCGGCCGUGGCGUCGGCGUCGGCGCCGACGAAGCGCAUGCUGGCGUUCCACUUCCUGCGCGCGCUGUCCCGGAUCCACGGCGCGGCCGGCCCGGCCAGGCGCCGCACGCGCACCAUCCGCCGCGCGGCCUACUCAUCCAUGGCGCGCGCCACCGGGCCGCGCCGCGCAUGGAGCCGCGCGCUGCUGCUCCAGGCCCAGGCGCGCGCGCGGAGAUCCAGGGCGGAGACGUCGAGGCGGGCCGCGGUGCUCGUACGGCGGCGCGUCGUCGCCGGACCGGCAGCAGCACCAGCACCAGCACGCGCCGCUCCUGUCGGCGGACAAGCAUCGGCGGCGGCUGCUCGUGCGGCUCUGGCCCCUCCGCCCCCUCCGGCAAGGCAGGCGGGGGAGCCGGCGAGGAGCGACGCGCUGCGGCGGCUCGUCCCCGGAGGCGCCGGGAUGGAGUACUGCAGCCUGCUGGAGGAGACCGCCGACUACGUCCGCUGCCUCCGCGCGCAGGUGCAGCUCAUGCAGGGCCUCGCCGACCUCUUCUCCUGCCAAUGA
rnacentral:rRNA from 1 species